UACAGAGGUCUCAAGCGUUGUUCGGAUUCAUUGGGCGUAAAGGGUGCGUAGGUGGCGUGGUAAGUCGGGUGUGAAAUUUCGGAGCUUAACUCCGAAACUGCAUUCGAUACUGCCGUGCUUGAGGACUGGAGAGGAGACUGGAAUUUACGGUGUAGCAGUGAAAUGCGUAGAGAUCGUAAGGAAGACCAGUGGCGAAGGCGGGUCUCUGGGCAGUUCCUGACACUGAGGCACGAAGGCCAGGGGAGCAAACAGG
rnacentral:rRNA from 1 species